rnacentral:rRNA from 1 species
AUGAGGUGCAGGGAGCACGACUGCGAGGUCCCGGCGGAGGUGGCGCGGCACCACGAGCACGCGGAGCCGGGGUCCGGCCAGUGCUGCUCCGCGGUGGUGCAGCACGUGGCGGCGCCCGCGGCGGCGGUGUGGUCCGUGGUGCGCCGGUUCGACCAGCCGCAGGCGUACAAGCGGUUCGUCCGCAGCUGCGCCCUGGUGGCCGGUGACGGCGGCGUGGGCACGCUCCGCGAGGUGCACGUCGUGUCGGGCCUCCCCGCGGCGUCCAGCCGCGAGCGGCUCGAGAUCCUGGACGACGAGAGCCACGUGCUCAGCUUCCGCGUCGUCGGCGGGGAGCACCGGCUCAAGAACUACCUCUCCGUCACCACCGUGCACCCAUCCCCGGCCGCGCCGUCCAGCGCCACCGUCGUCGUGGAGUCGUACGUCGUGGACGUGCCCGCGGGCAACACGACCGAGGACACCCGCGUGUUCAUCGACACCAUCGUCAAGUGCAACCUCCAGUCGCUGGCCAAGACCGCCGAGAAGGUCGCCGCCGUGUCGUGA